CGGUGACCUGGAUCAGCUUUAAGAAAACUACAGACGUAACGACUGUCCAUCCACAAAUGGAAACAACAGCAAGAGCUUGAAUCCCAAGCUGUCGAAAAUCACCAGACUAAAAUUACUUACAUAAACCAACCCUGGGCGAAUUCUGUCCAGUUGCAUGGCGUCAGUCAGCUCGUCUUUCUCAGUAAGAAAUCCGGAUGCAAGUAGACUAAACAUCCCACUAGCAGCAUGAGUUCCGACACAGCCUGAAAUAAAGCUUCGUUUCCAAAACAACCAGGAGUAUCUUGGUCGAAAUUGGUUUGUACUAACUUAUAUAGGUGAAAUUGUGAAAAGUAAGCAAAUAGUAAAUAGUGAUAAUGAGCAAAGAAGCUUUUAGAACAAAUGUGAAAUUUCUAGCCCUGAAGUCAGGUUGGGCUUUAAUGGUCACAGUGAAUAAGCAAUACUUUCAAUAUCUUAAUAUUCUUUACUACUGGACAAACAGCAGACAAACUGAGCCGGACCCAAACAUUUCAAAGAAAGGUUUUACAGAGGUGGCGCAAAACUAGAAAUCGACGCAAGACCAGA